rnacentral:lncRNA from 1 species
UGUAUUCAUGUCAGGCUGUUUGUUCUAGGAUGUGUACCGUAUGAUAUAAUAAAAAUGUAACUUUAUUUUUGUCUCCUACUUUUAGGUAGGUUCUCUAGAAGAGAGUCUUGAGUUGGAACUCUCGUGUAAGUGAUGUACUGAAAGGCUAUUCUUAGGAGAAGGGGAGUGAAGGAAGCAAGACAGGCCAGAGAAAGAAAACAAACAGAAAGAAGGAGCUGCUUUGGUAGAGAGGGACUGAUGACGCUAUAUAUGCUGAACGCUUCAGAGAAGUUGAAGAGGAGAAAUUUGCUCACAAAUAGCUUUGGCUGUCAAGUGGUUCUCCAGGCAUGUGUUUCUCACACAAUGUCAAACAGCAAAACCAGCUACCAGGCUGCUCUUAAUCCCAGUGUCUUGCUGAAGGAGGCUCUUGAAUUCCUG